AUAUAUGUAGCUUAUUACAGAGCAUUUUACUGAAGAUAAAAAAGUCUAAAUA
rnacentral:tRNA from 1 species